rnacentral:rRNA from 1 species
UACGGAGGGGGCUAGCGUUGUUCGGAAUUACUGGGCGUAAAGCGCACGUAGGCGGCUUUGUAAGUUAGAGGUGAAAGCCCGGGGCUCAACUCCGGAAUUGCCUUUAAGACUGCAUCGCUAGAAUUGUGGAGAGGUAAGUGGAAUUCCGAGUGUAGAGGUGAAAUUCGUAGAUAUUCGGAAGAACACCAGUGGCGAAGGCGACUGACUGGACAAGUAUUGACGCUGAGGUGCGAAAGCGUGGGGAGCGAACAGG